CACCCAUGCAUCACUCAGGGCUUCCCCCUCUGUUGCUGGAUCCUUAGGAACUGAUGCAGCUAAGGCCAUUCCAGAGAAGCAAUUCUUUGAGGCUGGGGUCUCAGACUCAGUACUGACUUGAAGGAAAAGACACCACAUUUCAUGCAGCUUUAUUAUAUUUUUUAAUUUAAAACUGAUUUAAUUUCAAAAUAUGCAUGUUUAACCUGAGUGAAAAAAAUCUUUGUCAUAUAUUUUUAUAUAUCUUUUCUGAAUUAUUCACAUCAGAAUUUCUCCUUCCACCAAUCUUCGGCACAAAUUAGUGUUCAUUAAGGAUUAUUUUUUUCUGGGUGAAGAAUGAUAUAACAUUUAACAAGAAGUCUGUAAUUAUCAUGUCACACAUUUGAAGCUACAAAUAGGGUAAUCCUAUAACGCAUAUUCAAACUGUCUGUAGCUUAUUUUAUAAUUUCAUAGUGAGGCAAAGGUUGUAGUGCCAAACAAGAAUACUGAACAAAAAUGCACUAAUCAUCUUGGAAAAUAAUUUAUUUUUCUGAUCUUUGUGAAACUAGUACUCAGAGUUCCUCAUAAUUCCAUCUCAGUGAACCUCCCGACUUUCUAAUUAAUCUCCACGCAGAGGAAAAAAGGAAAGACAAAGUCAAUACAAAUUGUAUUAAAUUUAAAUUUUUCCUUAUUUUUCAGGCUGAUUUAUCUCUUAAAUUCUAUAGGAUGUAAAUGUAUUUCAAUAGCUUUGGACUGUGUUAGAGAUCUGAAAAUAUUGACCUAAUAAAAAUCUACAAAUGCAAUUUAAAUUUAGAUGUCUAUAAAAUCCUACCUUUGGGCUACUUGUAAACAAUUUUUAGUUGUAUAUAUUUAGUAUAGUUAUAUUACCUAUUAUGUAGGGCCAAAGGUACCCAAAAUUAGGUUCUAGUUAGUGAAGCAAGAUCCAUGAUGGCCUUAAAACAUGAUCCCAAUUCUUUAUGAAAGAACAUAUUCAAUGACGCUUUGAGCUUCGCUUAGGUCAUAUUUUAUACCCACCAAUGCAAAGGAAUUGUGUGUGUUUUGCCCCUCCAAACAAAGCUGACAAUAUGCUAAGCAGAAACUUUAGAAAAAUGUUAUGUGGAGAUAAAAUUGUAUUAAAACAAAGCAAAAUGAAAGGCAUCCAAAGAAAAAUACAAAAAAAAAAAAAAAAAAAGAAACAAAUACAUCACCUUUGAGUAGUGAUCACUUGUCUUCGAUCGUGGCUCCUGGCACAUUGUUCACAAAUUCUUGUGAACCCUUAAGUCAUAGUCUGUAACAGUCAGCAUACUUGUUAGAAAGAAAAGACAAGAUAAAGGUAGCCUUCGUAUACUUAAUAGGAGCGAGGAGGCAGCACCGACUUGGGAGCCGAUUUAGACUUUAUUCCAGGUUGCUGGAGGAGAAAAAGGAAGGCAACCUAAAACCUUGUCAGUUAAACCAUUUAGUUCAAUAAUUUAUCUCAAUCAAAUCACUUUUCUGACCACUGAUAACUGAUACAAUGAGAGUGAUUGUCAGUAUGAAAUGGCUAUCAUUCGGUUGAUAACAAUUCAUGUUCAUCAUCUUGUAAAAAAAAAAAAAAUACUUAAGAGUUCAAACUGCUUAAACCCCAGUGCACCUAUUGAUUUUUCUUUAGAGUCUAUUUUAACCACUUUUCUCUUUUAUAAAAGUAUCACUUAGACAUAUAUACUUAGUGCUUUGAAUCUGUUGUUUUCAUCUUUUAAAAUCAUAGCUAUGGAGAUUAUAACUUCAGAGCUUGAGAUCAGAAAUAUUUGAUAUGUGGUUACAAAUCUGAUUUUCUUUUAUUCCAAAAGUCCCUGUUUCUUUUUUUUUUCUUUUCUUUUUUUACAUUUGUGUGUGUGUGUGUGUGUGUGUGUGUGUGUGUGUGUGUGUGUUCACAUGCUUGCGUGUCUGCAGAUGCAUGGGGCAAGGGAUACUAUAAGAGAGCCACAGCCUGUGUGUGAAGAUACAAGGACAAUUUGUGGUAGUUGGUUCUUUUUUCUACCAAGUGUGCUCUGGGGAUCAAACUCAAGUCAUAAGGAUUGGCAUCAAGUGCUUUUAGCCACUGAACCAUUCUGCUGGCACCUUUGAAUCUUAACUGAUCCAGAGAGCUUACUUGACUUUACAAUGUGCUUAGAGUCCCCAGUCUCCCAAGUUCUUCUAAGUGUUACCUCACAAGGUUAUGUGGUAUUUAUCACCUUCCCAUAGACCAAAGCUCCAAGAGGGCAGCAGGAAAAAUUUCUUUGAAGUAUUCUAGAGUGCACUUUGAGUCCUCAAAAGUGUUUCCUUUUUUUUUCUUGAGAUACUGAGGAUUUUAAAGUGCCAGAAUUUAUGUUUUUGAGCAGCAAAUCAACAUUGUCUUCUUUUUGGCUUUACAUCUUUAAAAAAAAUUCGCUAUGGAUAAUUGUCUAUUCUUUCUCUAAAGUGAAUGAAAAAUGAAAAGUAGGCUAAUCAAAUUAUAUUAUUACAAUUUUGGUAAUGUCUUAAAAUAUGCCCAAUGAAUGAUUCUGGGAUUGGGGGCACAUAAAAUUGACAUUUAAUAGCCAUUAGUCACAAUGUUGACACAUAUAAACAUCUAUAUAGACAUUAGUUUAAAAGGGAAAACGACAGCAUAUUUUUAGGGGAAGUUUUGAAACACUACAAAUGCUGUGUGUGUGUGUGUGUGUGUGUGUGUGUGUGUGCACUGUCCAGGUCAGUUGCCACUGACAAAUGUGGUUAAUGAGAACUUAAAAAGUGGCUGUAUGACUUUUACAUGAAAUUAACUUCCAAUUAAAUUUUAAUAGCACAUGGCUUGUGGCUGAGGAGUGUGUGGGACAUUCCUGUCACCCUAGACAUUCUCACCUGCUGCCAGUGAAUCCUAUGCUGUUGUCACUGCCAACAAUGGAAAACCAGGCUUCCCUGCCUGAACAUGGAUUUCACCGAAGUGGAUUCCCACGUUGUACUUGGCCCCUCUUGUUGAACAUAAUGAUCCCGUGAUGUAUUCAUGCCUUUUUGUAUAUCAAUAGUCUUUCUAACUGUUCAGUUGCAUUACAGUUGUCUGACUGUAUCACGACUUGUUUGUGCCUCCUCUAGCUGAUAGACAUCCGACAUUUGGAUUGUUUCCAGGUAUUUGGGUUUAAUGGUGCAAAUACUGUAAUUGAUGUUCUGAAUUAAUUGAGGAACUGUAUGCAUACAUAGUUUUACUUUGGUCUUGAGCAACGGGUAGUCAAUUUAUGAUUCUACUAUCAUCUUUAUGCCCUGGGGUGAGAGUCUAAUUUCAAGAUAUACUUAUAUAAUAGACAGAUAUCAAGAUGGCUGAGUAAUUAGACGAUUUGUAGUGCUUAAUGAAAACACAAUUAGAAAGACAAAUUUAGCAAAACACUUUUUCUCAGAAUCAAAGCAUGCUUUCAGUGGGGUACCCCAGAAGACAGUUAGAAAGUGUCUGAAUCACUUGGGUCUCUCUUGUCACUUUUGGUAUUUAUCACAUGUCCACUGAAUCUCAGAUCCAGAAACAUCAAUUAGCAAUCAUGAUUCAGUAGCAGUGGGCAUAUCAUAAGCACUUAGGAAAACAUAGCAGAAAGGAAAACUUCAUUUCACAUUUGAGAAUAAGAUUCUGUUGUGUGUCUCAACUGAAGAAAACAUGUAGUCUAAUGGAAGAUUUUAAAGCAGGGCAAUUUCUGCUUUGUAAGCUAUAGCAUACGUUUUCAAAACUCCACUUUUUUUUUUUGAAGCAAUGUCAUGGGAUGUCAGUAUUUUAUCUUUGCAUACAUAUUUUGCUUUCUUUUACGCAUGACGUUGGAAUUCUUCAUUAGUUCUUGAAUAUGUGGUAGGUGUCCAUAGGAGGAAAUAUCCUAAUCGAUGAUGUUGAAAAUUUACCCUUAAUAAUAUGCUAUAGCAAUUUGUACAGUAUAUACAUAGGUAAUCAGGGCUUCUUUUCUUCAAGUGGUUUAGACACAAAUGUGUUCAUCUAUGCCUCUCACAAUCACUACAACCUUACAGUGGAAACAAAGUUUAAAGGAAACAACUAAAAUUCACAGAACAACUGAGCAUUGUACAGAUAACUAUGUCUGCAUCAUUUCUGGAAUACAGCAAAAAGCUGUUGCAUUGACAAUUUAUUGCAUUGUCAAGGAAUGUAAAAUACCUUUUUGAAUGACGAUUAUAUUUUUCAUUGUAAAAAGCAAUAGCUGUUAAGACCAUGCUGCGUGUUUCCUAAGGCUCCCUAAAAAGUUAUUUCUGAUCUACCUGUAUGAUACAUAUGAAGAUACAACCACACAGCUGUAAAAAUGAGCUGAAAAGAGUUCCUGUCAGAACUACUGAGUAGCAAAAGGAUUUGAUAUAUGUAUGCAUAUAUAAUCUAUCAUGCUUUGCAUUCUAUUGCUUGCAUUGUAGCUUGGUGUUUUGAAUUAGUAUAAUGGCAACACUGAAAUUUAUAUAUUAACCUUACUAGAACUAAAAGACAUACCUCCAAUUGUCAUAAAAGGGAGAAUAUCCUGACUUAGUAAGAAUUCAUGCAAAUAAAAGUAUGCAUCCUGAGAGUAUAAAAAGAUGGUACCAGAAGCUAGGAAUAAAGAAGUCUCUAAAUUGCUUGAAACUGACGUUACAAUGUUCUAAGCGCAAAGGUCACACUCUUCCUAAAGGACACUGCCUCAAAGUAUCUAUUUAUACCCUUGAGACAGUUUUGCCCAAGCUUCAUUAUGUGGUUUCCUUUCGUGCAGAUUAAAAGCAGUAAAUUAAAAGGGUGGGGGGAAUAAUAGAAUGGUGCUCACUGACAGCGGUAAGGAGCAACAGCUGACAGUGGGGAGAUGGGGAACCUAACAGACAAUAGGGCUGCGCCAGCAAAGCUCUUCAGAGCCUUGAGGUGCCAGUCAGCAGUCCCAAACGUUUUCCUGAGGACUUGAUCUGUAAACGUUGCAAAAGGACUAUUCCAAUCGUGAAGAGUUUUAACUGCUGUUGGGUACCACGGUGUCAUUUUUGGCUAUCACCACGACCUGUUUUAACUUUAGUCCUUGGCUUGUUUUUUUUUUUUUUUUUUUCUCUUUCUCUUAUUAACUACUAUAUUAUAACUUAUAACCAAGAAUAGAACUCAUUAUAACUAUGAAAUUAUCAAAGCUUACAGUAUUACUGCUAAAUCUAUUGUUCUAAUAGUUGGUUUCUAAAAUGUCUUUUACCUAGCAUUUCAUGGCACAGAGAGGCAAGAUAAAAUGACGGCUUGUUUUCCCUAAAAUGAGAAUAUUAUGUAUCCAAUAGAACAGGUGUCAGGAUUAAAUGAGAUAAUGUAUGUAAAACACUUAGCACAAGGUCUGGGGCACAGAAAGAGAGCUCAGCCUUAUUUUAACAGGGAACUCAUGCUGGCCCAAAUCCCUCAUGUGCCGGUGCAAAAAUUAAGCCUCAAGAGGAGAACUGACUUCUUAAGGCUCUACUUCCAGUAUGUUAUUGUCUUGGAUAAGCUGCUUAGCUGCAAAUGUUGGGAGAUUUUGGGUAUUGGCGGGCCUGGGGGCACGUGCCUGCUGGACUCCAGUAUGAGGAGAAUUGGACGAAUAUGCUUGAACCAUGAGGUUUCAGAAGCUGUGCCUUAUCAACUCGAGUUUGAGGUGCCAGGUUGUGUGCUAAUAAUGUUCUCCAUGGACAGAAGCCGUUCCCGUGUCCAACACAGCUCAAGAACAAGCUACCCCCAGGCUGUUAAGAAACCGAUGCCAGCUAAUAGGGCGAUUGGUCUAGCUGGGAUCCAUCCCGUCAACUCUGAAAGGGUAGAGCCCCUUAAGGACCUACCGAGGGCUACUCUGAAAGGUCUAACCCACCCCUGUAGGGACCCUCAUCCUCGGAAAGCUCGAAUUCCCUUCCCCUUGGCACUUCCUCCCGGUCCUGCAGGGUGCUAACUUGGCGUCUCGGUUCCGCAGGGAGGUAGCGGCCGCGCCGAGCGAGAUGGGUCACCGUUCGCGCGCCCAGGCUCUCGCUCCCUAAGAUGGCGGCGGGAGCACCGCUCACACCCCGCCGCCCGCGCUCCUCAGGACCCCGCGGCCUCGGGAGGCGCGAGAAAGCGGAAUUCGAUGGAGGGGAGGGCAAAGCCGAGACCCUGGAGGCCCGCGCCGGCCGCAGAGAGUCUGGGAAAGGGAUCACCCGCGAGGCAUAAACGACCGACCGGGAAACACCACACUGGCGACCACGGAGAGGGAGGGGAGAAAAAAAAAAAAAAAAAAAAAAAACCUGAGCGGGGCGGGGGGAAGAGAGGAGAGAGAGGGGAGGAGCGCAGCACAUCCGGGAUAUUAGCUGGGGCCGCCCAGGAAAUGACGUACGCCCCGGGGUGGAGCCCGCUCUUCAAAGUGGGGUCUGCCUCCGCGGUAGCGCGCGUCUCACACAGUGUUGGCUCCGUCGUCACUCCCCCUCCCCUGGCUUCGCGCUUUUCCUCUCGCGGCUGCGGGGCGGCUGGGCACAGAGCUGGCGGCAGAGGCAGGCGGGGCUCCUUUGACGGAAAGUAGCCCUCGCCUCCAGACCCUCAGCUUUCCCCGGCGUCCUCCGUCCCGUUCCUCCAGGCAGACUCGCCCUGACCCCGGGCCCGCCAAGUCUUAAAGCGCACCUCGGGGGAAAAACCGACGUCGGAAUCCCGACCGCAGCCCCCCGCCCGGGCUCCGAGCUGUCAGUCACGGCGCCGAAGCCGCUUCUUCCGGCGCUCUCGGGCCCGCCCUCUCCCCUCCUCCCUCCCCCCCGCCCCUCCCCGCGCGAGUGUCUCCCUCUCCCUCGCUCCCUCUCUCUCUCCCUCUCUCUCUCUUUUGUGAGUUAUAGCAACCGUUGCCUUGUGAAUCAAGCGCCAUAGUCACCGUAGUCCUGGCGACUGUUACCCAUCAACAACAACUACUCCUCUCCUCCUCCUCCUCCUCUUCCUCCUCCUCCUCCUCCCCACCACCACCAUCUCCAUCACCCACCAACAACACCACAAUAAUCCACAGCCAAGGUGAAUAUUCUUCGGUCUCUCUACAUGUGUGUGGGAGCGUGUGUGUCCGUGCGUGUGUUCGUGUGUGCGAGCGAGCGUGGCUGUGCGGGGUCUCCCUCCUGACACCGGCUGCGGCCGCUUGAGGGGCUCGGUCCCGGGGGCUUGUUUACAAUGGACCCGCGCGCGGCGGGCUCGGGGGUGUGGGCGCCGCGCGCCUGCCCGCCCGGCCUCGGCGCUCGGGGAUGGAGCGGGAGCCGGGGCUGCGGGGCGAGCGGGCUAGGAAGCCGCCGCUGUCCGUCGCGGGUGUUGGAGCGUCCCCCCCAGGUCCGCGGGCGCCCAGGAGGAGGGGCAGGUGGAGAGAAGGGGCUCGCUUUCUCCCUCUCUCUUUCUUUAAUUCGCUGCUUUGCAAAGCUGCCUGGUGGCUGCUGCUUUCCAAAUCGAAAUAGACAGCAGUGAGCAGGGGGGGUCCCCAAAAGGUGCUGCGCUGUGGUGGUUGUUGUUCACUUGCGGGGCCUUGUUGGGGGUUUUGUUAUUUUUAUCCUGGUACCUCGGUGAACUUUUCCCGAAGCCCGCUCCCUUCGUUUCGGCCCCUCUGUGCCUGCUGCUGAACGGACUGCACUUAUUUGACCAUCACUGGCCUCACGGGAUUCUUUUUUUUUUUUUUUCUUUUAAAACUGUAUUUUUCUUUGUGCUGCAAACAGUCUUAAUAUCCAUUCAGCAGUCUUCUCCCCCCUUCCCCCCAUUUGCACACACAUUGAAACUAGGGGGCCUCUGCUGCUCUUGAGAGAUUUUUUUUUUAAGUCUGUUUCUCUGUUUCUCUUCUCUCCUCUUUCCUCUCUUGUCUCUCCUCUGUCUCCUCUCCCUCUCCUCUCUCUCUCUCCCCCCUCCCCUUUUCGGGUUUGUGUGUGUGUGUGUGUGUGUGUGUGUGUGUGCUUGUGAUUUAAACCGGAUGCAGGGCAUCUGUGCUACUUUGGUUAGUGGCUACUGACAGCGCUUUAUCCUUCAUGUGGAGAUGGGAGGGGUAGUCCUGAGGUUCUGUUUCACUUUGAUGCACCUCCCUCCCCACAGGAGAGUGUUAACAAUUUUCAUUGUGGUUUAGACUUUGUCUGUGAUGAACAGGAAAAGGAUAUAAGGAAGCUUUGUGAGAACUCAGUUCACAACGCUAUUUGUGACAGUUAUGGUACUUUGAGAGUUUUUUUUUUUUUUUUUUUCCUUCUCCCAUCUUCAUCUCUAUUCCUUUCCCUUGGAGAGUUGAAAUUGAAGUCAAGUUGUUCAUAAAGAAUGUAUGAAGCUUCUCAACUUGAAACGAAACCUGUUUAUCCGUGGUGCUAUGGAAACUGUAAGAGAACUACUCUCUGAUGUCUAUCACCUACCCCCUCUGUCACCUCCAGCUGUCUCAGAGACCAUCAUGCAGACUUCAGAGACGGGUUCAGACACAGGUUCGACAGUGACUCUGCAGACGUCUGUGGCUAGCCAAGCAGCAGUGCCUACACAGGUGGUACAGCAAGUGCCAGUGCAGCAGCAGGUGCAGCAGGUACAGACAGUUCAGCAGGUCCAACAUGUCUACCCAGCUCAGGUGCAGUAUGUGGAAGGAAGUGAUACUGUCUAUACCAAUGGAGCAAUCCGAACAACAACUUAUCCCUACACAGAAACACAGAUGUACAGCCAAAACACUGGAGGAAAUUACUUUGAUACUCAAGGAAGUUCUGCCCAGGUGACAACUGUGGUGUCCUCCCACAGUAUGGUGGGUACUGGUGGGAUUCAGAUGGGCGUCACAGGAGGACAACUCAUCAGCAGCUCGGGAGGAACCUAUUUGAUCGGCAAUUCAAUGGAGAACUCUGGUCACUCAGUGACACACACAACUCGGGCCUCCCCAGCAACAAUUGAAAUGGCGAUUGAGACGCUGCAAAAGUCUGACGGUCUGUCCACUCACAGAAGCUCUCUUCUCAACAGCCAUCUGCAAUGGCUGCUGGACAAUUAUGAGACAGCGGAGGGAGUGAGCCUGCCGAGGAGCACGCUGUACAACCACUACCUUCGACACUGCCAGGAGCACAAGCUGGACCCGGUCAAUGCCGCCUCUUUCGGAAAACUAAUAAGGUCCAUUUUUAUGGGGCUACGAACUAGGAGAUUAGGCACUAGAGGAAACUCCAAAUACCAUUACUAUGGGAUUCGUGUGAAGCCAGAUUCUCCUCUUAACCGUCUACAAGAAGAUAUGCAGUACAUGGCUAUGAGGCAGCAGCCCAUGCAACAGAAGCAAAGGUACAAGCCUAUGCAGAAAGUGGAUGGGGUUGCAGAUGGUUUCACAGGAAGUGGCCAACAGACAGGCACAUCUGUUGAGCAAACUGUAAUUGCCCAAAGUCAACAUCAUCAACAGUUUUUAGAUGCAUCUCGAGCACUUCCAGAGUUUGGAGAAGUUGAAAUCUCUUCUCUGCCAGAUGGUACUACCUUUGAGGAUAUCAAGUCACUGCAGAGUCUUUAUCGAGAGCACUGUGAGGCAAUACUGGACGUUGUUGUGAAUCUUCAGUUUAGCCUGAUAGAAAAACUGUGGCAAACAUUCUGGCGCUAUUCCCCAUCUACUCCAGCCGACGGCACUACCAUCACGGAAUCAAGGUGCCUUGACCCAAGCCAUUCGAAAUUUCGCAAAAAGCCUAGAAGGUUGGCUUUCAAAUGCCAUGAACAAUAUUCCACAGAGAAUGAUUCAAACCAAGGUUGCCGCUGUAAGUGCCUUUGCUCAGACUCUGCGAAGAUACACAUCGCUCAAUCACCUGGCCCAGGCAGCCCGCGCAGUGCUUCAGAACACUUCCCAGAUCAACCAGAUGCUCAGUGACCUCAACCGCGUUGACUUUGCCAAUGUCCAGGAGCAGGCUUCCUGGGUGUGCCAGUGUGAUGACAACAUGGUUCAGAGACUAGAAACAGACUUCAAGAUGACCCUGCAGCAGCAGAGCACUCUGGAGCAGUGGGCUGCUUGGCUGGACAAUGUGAUGAUGCAAGCGCUGAAGCCCUAUGAAGGAAGGCCCAGCUUCCCGAAGGCUGCUCGGCAGUUUCUGCUCAAGUGGUCUUUCUACAGCUCCAUGGUUAUCCGGGACUUAACCUUGCGCAGUGCUGCUAGCUUUGGCUCCUUUCACCUGAUCCGGCUGCUCUAUGAUGAGUACAUGUUCUACUUAGUAGAGCAUCGUGUUGCUCAAGUGACAGGAGAGACACCGAUAGCAGUGAUGGGUGAGUUUGGCGAUUUAAAUGCUGUAUCUCCCGGAAAUCUGGAUAAAGAUGAAGGCAGCGAAGUCGAAAGUGAGACGGAUGAAGAUCUGGAUGAUUCUUCAGAGCCUCGGGCCAAAAGGGAGAAAACGGAGCUGAGCCAGGCGUUCCCAGUAGGCUGCAUGCAGCCUGUUCUGGAGAGUGCUGUGCAGCCCAGCCUCCUGAACCCCCUACACAGCGAGCACAUCGUCACAAGUACACAGACCAUCAGGCAGUGCAGCGCCACAGGCAACACCUACACUGCAGUCUAACAGCAGGAAAGCAGAGUUUUCCAGCUUACUCUAACCCCAUUGAUACUGGGCUUAAGCUGAAAUUUUAACAAGCCUGAAGGUUGACUGUUGUCAAAAGUCUAUCUGUGCUGAACAUUACCUUUUUGGAGUUGUGAAAUGGAAUGGGUGUAUGUAUUUUUCCAGGUCUUUUUUUUUUUAACACAAAUUAUUUGCCUUUUAAUAAUAGAGCCCCUCCCCCCUUAGUUUCAGGUGUCAAGAAGGAUUUAUACAACACUUAAUGUCAUUGUUUUUGUUUUCUCAUAAUUAAAAAGUAAUUUACAUUUUGUAGCUUAAAAUAUUUUAUUGUUGAUUGUUAGUCUUGGUGUAUGAUUUUAUGUGUAAGUUUUUUAAUUAGAUGCACUUCUGUGAAAUAUCAAAAGAAAUGAAUUUCUUUGAUUUACACUGGAGGCAUGCCCAUUUGGCAGCAGAUGCAUCAAAUUUGCUUCUGAAAGGUGCUUUUCAUUGGACAGAACCAUAAGACACUAUUUUGAUAACAUUUUGGAGUAUGGAGAGAAUACAGAGCGUUUUUAUUAUAGUGGUAGAGGGUUGGGAAGGUCAUCUAUUUUUCUCUGAAAAAAAUUGAGCUGUGCAUUUAUCAGUUCAGGAUAAAUGACAGAAUUGCAAGAGAUUAUGCUAAUAUGUACAUAAUUUGUGUACAUAAUUAUUAAACCACGUUAACAAUGCAAGCUUCCGUUAGACAUUGACUUUUAACUAUUAUUUGUGUACCAAUUCCUCUGUUUAAAGACUACUGAUUCUGUAUUGGAACCACUGUACAGAUGCAUUCUGCUGUUAAGUGGGGCUGUUAUAGUUAGAUACUGCAGCUGAAAAAAUGACUUGACUUUUUUUUUAAGUGUACAUGCUACUUAUACUGAGCUGGACAUACAGGAAACCAUUCCAUUUGGAUGACUUUCUUUUAUUCCAGGUCUUUUUUCUAAUAGUAGUUCAAUAUGCUGCUAUUAUAAAAGAAAAUGUAUAGAAUGCAAGGAAUGUAGCGACCUGCAUAUUGUUAUUUCCUGGUUUCUAAAAUACAUGGAUUUAAAUUUUACACAGAACCUGAAGGCAGUGUGACUGGCACACCUCACUGUUGCUGACCCCGACUCUGUAGGAUUUGGAUAGGUGGCUGGAUGGACCAUUGCCAUUGGAGAACGUACAUCAGGGAUCAUCGUACCUCGGCUAUUACAUGGUGCCUUAAAACAGAACUGAGCUAAGGUUUAGUAAGGUUUAUUUUGUUUGUGUGAAUAACUCUUCAAUCCAUUCGGUAACGUGUGCCUGUCAUGCUCAGAUUCCUGAAGUAAAGACAGGUCACAUGUUCUUCAAGGGGAAUUUAGGGGAAAUUAAGCAAAACAAAGAGACAAAAACUUCAGUUUCUCUCUGAGGGACUGUGAGUGGACUUGUCUAGGUUUUAUCCUUGGAGCUGAAUAUCACUUUAUAACAAAUCAGAUUGCUAAGGGUGUGGACUAGCAGUUUUCAUCCAAACAUGUUACAUAAAGAUCAUGUGUUGUAGACCAUUCUUAUUUAGCUAUAAUUCUAGAAAGUUAACAGGAUUAGCAGGUACUUAUUGAAGUGCAUCUUUUCAGUCUAAAUGUCUGUCUGUGUGUCUGGGUGUCUCUGUGUACACACAAACACACACAUACAUACACACACACACACACACACACACACACACACACACGUGGAACUGGAGUCUGCUACAGUCAGAAGGUGAGAUCCUAAAGAGCACAGCUCAUCCCAUUUUACUUUGCAUGAAAAGCCAAGGUUCUUUUAACUCAAGCUGUCAACAGCAGCAACAACAUGGGGCAUAGCCUUUCAUUUAAGUAAUUAUAAAAUUAAAUCAGUGCAAGUCAAUAAGGAAUUAAGUCAAUAAAGCCAAAAAAUGGAAAGGAAAGCACAAAAUGACACACAGAUCACUACUGAGGCCAUGUUAAGCUGAAGACUUCAUCUUUCCAGUUGGAUUGGGUGAGGGGUAUAGUUAAGGAGAAGAGACUGUGCCAAUCUGGAAAGUUAAAAAUAGCAAAUGGCUUAUCAGGAAACACAGUCUAUUGAAACUGUUAUUGCCUGAUUGUCUCAAACUUCUGAAAAUCAACAGCAUUUCUUAAGUGAAAUUUAAAUGUCUUACAUAUAAUUUUAAUGGAUUCAGAUUUUGUAUGGAUCAACCUACUCACACACAAGACUUCACUGGCAUCCAAGCAUUACUUCAUUACUGAAGAUCCCAAGGCAAUGAAUUUGCAAGCCCCUCCCCUCCAUCAUCCAUCAUAAGCUACAAAAGACCAUGGACCUACUUCAUUGUGAGUUAGAAAAUGUUUACACAUAAAAUUCAAAUCAUAAACUAGCUCUCUUCAUCUUGCCUCUCCCUCCUGAGGUCUUUCAGUCUCCUGUCCCUCCUUGUCACCCCAGACGACAUCAUGUCUGUAUUGGACCAAAUGUAUUUACUGGUUUCACUGUGUUUAUUGGUUGACUUUUUAAAAUGUAUUUGUAUCAUUGUUUCAUUUAAUUUAAUUUUGGAGAUAUUUGUAUCAUGAGAGGAAUCAGCUAACAAUUGACAGACAUAGAUUCAUGAGAGGGAGGGACUGAAUGGCCCUCCAGAAUUCAACAUUUCUUCCAGUUGUUCAUGGUUUGUUCCAAAUUAGGACAGAGUAGAAAUUAACAAGUAUUGUUAUGGUUGAAAUUGACUCCAAAAUAUUCUGAACUUUUAGAAAUAUUUAGGAACAUUAAUCCUUUUACACCAGUGUAGAUAGCUCUAACCAAUACACAAAAAAGAAUACCCAUGGCUUAUGAUACUUCUAGCUAUUUGUAGUAUAUUGUGCACACAUCAAUUUUGGAUUUGAAUUGUGAACUAUAUUAGAAAACAAAAACAGUAAUUUAUGUGCAGGCAAAAUUUAUAACAAUCACAUUUGUCUUAGUUAUUUAACAUUUUGUUUCUGUUUUUCCAUUUAUUGAAACUGGCUUUUCUAAAUAAUAUCAGCCACCAACAGUCUCGUAGUAGACGUGUUGACACAACACACUUUUUAAGGACUUGCUGGUAUUUCUUGGCAUUAUAAUAAUGCCUGUCUUGAAAUACAUGUAUGUGAAUCAAGUACUACACUCCUGGUACAGAGAAGGGAAGGGAGGUGCAUGAGCUAUCAGUGCGUUUCAGAGGAGAUUCCCAUGUAAUACACUUGAGUCUCAUAGGUAUAGUUUUAUAUCGGCAAAUACUUUGAGAAUUAUAGCCAAAAGAGCUACACUUCCAAAACCAGUGAACAAUGGAUGAAAUGGGUGAAACUUCUCCUGGGAACACAGGGCCCAGUUUUAUAUUUCCCCUUUGGAUUUACCAAGUUACUAAGAACUUCGGGACUUGCGUCCAAAUCUUGACUGUAUGACUCUUACUGCCUUUUUUGAAAUCUGCGUUCCUUUUUGUGACUUUUUUCCUUGUACUGUAUAGCACGGUUCAUGCACCUCUCUUUAGAUGGUGUACUUUAAAAACAGAAGUAAAAUACACAAAUGGUUUUCUCGCUGCAUACCUAAAGUUAGUAGUGUGCAACAUUAGCUGCCUUUAAUUUGUAGUAGGUGAGCGAGAAUGAGCACAUUCUUGCAGAAUGCUGUAGACGUCAGUCAGGAGUGAGCACAGCUCCCAUGCUGUGGUCCUGGGCCUUUUUACAUGGACACACUCUCUACAAGUGCUAAAUGCAUUUUCAGUUUGGAAAGAUUAUUAUCACAUUAUUAUCAUUAAUAUUAUUAUUUAAAAUGUCUAAGAUAAUGCUGUGCUUGAAACAUCUGUGUGAAAGAAAACACGUGUGUCGCUGUGAUGGUCCUCGUUGCAUGGACAUAGUAGAAAGUCAAAAGCUUGACGUGUUACGCUUGCACACGAGUUAAGGCAGUGGUUAUAGACAACAUACUGACUUUGUCAUAACCUCCCCUCCUCAAGUUCUUUUGAACAAAUCACGAUCAUCCAGAAACUAAAAUCAGGACUUUUCUGAUCUCCGUGGAUCACAGCAGAGUUUGGGGGAGGAAGGUUGUCAAUGCAGUGUUGUUCAACAUCGGGCUGUGACUGGAUCAGAGCAACAACCUCCAUGUACAUGGUAGAACAAACUCAUUAACAGAACCCUAGUAUUUCUGUGAGUCUGGUGAUUUUAAAAGACUGGGACUGAAGCAUUGAUUCAGCGCUUAGUUCUAGUAUUAGAAAAGCCCUUUGCUGUAAUGCCUUGUAUUAACCCUUUGAGCAUUGUAAGAUAUACAAUGGGGGAUGAAAGCCUUUCAGAUCAUUUAUUUAGACUUAAAAAAGUAAAAUAGCCUCUAUAUCCAAAUGUCUAAUUACACUGUUUUUUAAAGGGGGGGUCGGAAAAGAAAGUGUCUCCAUGCCGAACACUUGCAUUUUAUAUACAACUCUUAAUUUUCCUUCAAGAGGGCUGGAUAGAUUUAUUCCCAAAUAUUCACUGCCAUCUAAGUAAGUGUACUGUUUACAGAAGAUAAAAUCAACUUUUCUAGCAUCACAUGACUCUCUAGAAAAGGAGGACGCAUACAUGGGCCUAUGCUGGCCUAUGUAGUAACUGAUUUCUGCACACUGGAGGUACCUGUUUGCCUUUAAAAGGUAUGAUAAAAUAAAGGGUUAUGUUUUGUCUUUUUUCCCAAAACAAAAGAUCUCAUUUAUUUAGCUUUAGAAAGUACAAAUGAAGCCUUAGAAGGAGUGAGUUCCACUACACACAGCUGGACUCUGAGGUACUUAGGCUCUUUGGAGUUGCAUCUAUCAUGAAAUAUUGUUUGGAAAUCAUGCGGGGCAUAAUUUUAUCUAUGCUCCAGAACAUUAAUACUUUGUCAUAAGAUAUAGAGAGGCAGAGUGGCGAGCAAGACACUCACUUGCUCUAAGCUCUUCUGCCAGGAGAUGCUGUGACUACUGCUUCAGCUAUCUCUGAAUGUCAUUCUGCUUACAACAUUUGCUGAUUUCUUUGAGGGAAUUUCUGGACAGUUGAUCUGGUCCUCCCCUAUGUGACAGAACACGGAGCAGUGUUGUGCUCAGAUACGUCCACACUGCCCUCGCUGAGCACAGACAGGAGCAUGACCUACUCCGCGGCGUCUGCCAACAUCCAUAGCAUAGUGCAAGUGUCCGUACGUUGCUUUCUAGGCAGUUGAGGAAGUCAGACCAUGCAAAUUACUCAUGUGUUAACAUGCAAAUUACUCAUGUGUUGACAUGCAAUACUCAAAGGGUUUUACUUUAGCUCUCUCCUUUUGACUCUUCACGAUGAGUUACUGUAAAUGCUUCUCAGUUUGCAUGCCUUGCCCAUUGCUGCUAGUGAUUUUAUGUGCCAGUAGACCUGAGUUUAGUUUACCAAUUUUACUUAAAUAGUAAAAGCCACUUACAAAGUGACUGCCUAGGGUUGAUUCUCCUUUUGUUUAAAGGGAUUGGUGAUACGUCGUCGUUCUAAAAGAAAUGUUUGGUCUCUUCUAUUUGGUUCUGAUGUUUGAAUCUUUUCCCCCUCUUUCCUUUGUUCUUUUUAUUUUUUCUUUCUUUCCUUCUCUCUUUCUUUCUUUCUUUCUUUCUUUCCUUCUUUCUUUCUUUCUUUCUUUCUUUCUUUCUUUCUAAAUAAAGUAUGAUGUUGGGAUUGGAAGCCCUGAGUAAUGAAAUAUUUGGUAAGGAUCAUUUCAUGUAGCUCAAUAAUCAUGACAGCAAACCUCUGUGAGAAGGUUGAUUCUGGGGAGGAAAGCAAAACUACAAAAACUCUGAUUGACUUUUGAUGACCAAGUAAAUUUUCCUUGAAUAAAUUAGCAUUUCUGAACAAAUGGUUGCCUUGCUUUAUCCUACAUACACAAUUUUAUAGGACCCAAUGAGGAAGGUAUUAAAUUGUAUUCGUUUGAAAAGCAUCUUUUGUACCAAAGCAAAUUCUUUUCCCUGCUCAUCUCCAUCAUCGAUUUGGACCUUUGGUGGCGACCAAUGAGUCGGUUCCAGAAACUUAAGUGAGUGCCUUGAGAACGCUUGGGAACUGUGCCUGAGGUGGUAAACUCUUAAUUAGGUUAACUGUAGCGCUUACCAAUCAGUAACUACACUAUCACUCAGGGCUUUCGUACCUUCUAGGUAAAACUCCUUUCAUUGUGGUUUUUUUUUUUUUUUAAUACUGUAUUUUUUUUUAAGUGCCAUCAUUUAAAAUUCACUUAGUAAGUGGCAGAUUACAUUAUUCAGUCCCACAAGCACACAAACAUAGUAACACUAGGAGAUAUUUGAGCAUUUAUUUUACAAUCGACUGAAUAUAUAAUGUAAAUGAGGUAAGUAACUUUUGUAGAGAUUGUAUGUGUGAGAUAAUGUAAUGUUCUUUUCCAGUUUUUGGACUACAGUUGAAUAAACUUUUUAAUUAUUUAAAAACAUCUUUGCCGAAUAACAUGUGAUGGGUUUUUUGUAUAAUGUAUUUGAUUUUGUAAAUACGUAUUUCCUGAUGUGAUUUUUGUGAGAAACGCUAAAUCUUUUAGUAUACCAUGUCCUCUGAAGAUUGGCAGGAGCUAAAUACUAGUUUGUGGGCGAUUUGUAUUGUGUACUGUACAAUAACUGGGGAACUUUUAUAAUUAUAAAAAUAUAUAUUAACUUUUAGUGUGUUGUUUAAACAAAUGACUGGAACAUACUAAAGAUAUUAGUAGGAUUUUUUCUGAAUAUUUCAGACUUGAACUCAGGCUAGCUUUCUUGUGUUUUUCAAAACAAAAAAUGGUGUCUUGUCUUUUAAAAAUCAAUAAAUUUGUUUCCUUGUUACAAACAUU